rnacentral:SRP_RNA from 1 species
CCUGGGCCAAAGCAGUGGCGUGUGCCUGUAGUCCCAGCUACUCGGGAGGCUGAGGCAGGAGGAUUGCUUGAGCCCAAGAGUUCCGGGCUGUAGUGCGCUAUGCCAUUUGGGUGUCCGCACUAAGUUCGGCAUAGAUAUGGUGACCUCCCAGGAGCAGGAGACCACCAGGUUGCCUAAGGAGGGGUGAACUGGCCCAGGCUGGAAACGGAGCAGGUCAUCAUGAGAGAGGGAACGUACUCUUGCCAACGGAGAGCCACUUCUCAGGGCCGGGAUGACAACACCAGGCA